CACUAGCCACGACAUAUCAAUA
rnacentral:siRNA from 1 species